CAGCAUCUUUUAGGACAGCACGAAUGGCAUCGAGAUUACUUAAUAGCUUUUCAGCAUGUAUGUUAACACCUUUAAAUGUUGCAUACUCCUCUUGGACAUAAGGUGUCAGUUGUGAAAUCAAAGUUCCUACUAAAUCAAAAGCCAUUUUCAGGUGUAUGAGAAUUGGAAUGAAUCAAAGUUUAUCUCUUGAAAGAUGAAUAUGCUAAAUUAUUUGUUUUCAGAUAUUAUCAAUAAAAUGAAUGGUUAUAGUUGUUGUGUAAGUUUUCAAAGUUGGCUCCUCUGAUUAGUAUCAAAGUUGACAAGUUGAGAAAAGAGUUAAAAAACAAGUUGUGACUUGUGAGGCAUUCUUUGAGAUAACGUUGCUCUUGAAAGAUGAAUUUGCUAAAUUAUUUGUUUUCAAAGAUUAUCUAUAAAAUGAAUGGUUAUAGUUGUCAUAUAACUUUUCAAAGUUGGCUCCUCUAGCUAAACAAUACAAACAAUUAGUAUACAUUAUCAACCGCAAA
rnacentral:lncRNA from 1 species